rnacentral:rRNA from 1 species
CUGCUCAAUGCUUAAAGUAAAUAGCCGCAGUAUUUUGACUGUGCUAAGGUAGCAUAAUCAUUAGUCUCUUGAUUAGAGGCUGGUAUGAAUGGCGUGACGAGAAAGUAGCUGUCUCAUAAUAAAUAAUUGAAUUUCAUCUCUUAGUGAAAAAGCUAAGAUUAAUUUGAAGGACGAUCAGACCCUUUGGAGUUUUAUAAGUUUCAAAAAAUGAAUUUAUAUUUAAAAAUAACUUUUUGAAAUUUAUUUCGUUGGGGCGACGAAGAGUUUAAAAGUAACACUCUUUUUAUCAACCACUAGUAAGUGAAUAAUUGAUCCUUAAAGCAAGAUUAAAAGAUUAAGUUACCCUAGGGAUAACAGCGUAAUCUUUUUAGAGAGUUCAUAUCGAUAAAAAGGUUUGCGACCUCGAUGUUGGAUUAAGAAAUUAGCAAGGUGCAGAAGUUUUGCUGGAAAGUCUGUUCGACUUU